rnacentral:rRNA from 1 species
UACGAAGGGUGCAAGCGUUAAUCGGAAUUACUGGGCGUAAAGCGCGCGUAGGUGGCUUGAUAAGUUGGAUGUGAAAUCCCUGGGCUCAACCUGGGAACUGCAUCCAAAACUGUCUGGCUAGAGUGUGGUAGAGGGUAGUGGAAUUUCCAGUGUAGCGGUGAAAUGCGUAGAUAUUGGAAGGAACACCAGUGGCGAAGGCGACUACCUGGACUGACACUGACACUGAGGUGCGAAAGCGUGGGGAGCAAAC